rnacentral:tRNA from 1 species
GGGCUGUUGGCAGAGCGGCCGAUUGCAGCGGUCUUGAAAACCGCAUCACGUUCACCCGUGACGGGGGUUCAAAUCCCUCACAGCCCGCCA